rnacentral:lncRNA from 1 species
UAAAUCAGAACUGUUAAAGCAUACUUGAGGUACACUCUCUGUCGGCAAAAAACUCGUCUGGGGGAUUUCACCAAGUACUUCCAGGCCUUCUGUGCCCGUGUCUUCGGUGUCUUUUAUCGUAGGUGUUUGAUCCACUUCUGGAGCCAGCGGACCUUGAGGGGUUCCAAAAACAGUGGUAAAUAUCUGUCUAUGGCAUUCACCGCAGAGAUAAAAAUAGGUGAAAUGGCCCUCAUAUAAGAGCUUGUGCACCAUGGCAUCUGGUAGUACUCGCUGCACAAAAUCGCUCAUUGCUGGAGGGACAACCUUAUCAUCCAUUCCCUGUUUGACGUUGGCAAUUCAAGAUGCAGCAAAAGAAAGUCGCCAGAAUUAAUAUGGUGCUCAAGUUCUUGUUUUCAACAGAACAAGCAUAAAAUGGACAUCUUGCCUUUGUACAGAAAAUAGUUGUAAUAAACAGAAAUGACUUAUUCGUUAAACAGUUUGAGAAUUUGGCACGCCAAUUGCCCAAUGUCAAAGCAAUCAGGGUACAGGAGACUGCAAAAUUCAAAGAAUUUGCUGAUCAUAGUCAUCGUACUACAAAAAGCCUUCACAAGCAAUUCGUUUAAUGGACUUCUAUCAACAUGGUUUAAAAUCUUAUGACAAAAUAUACCAGUCACAACAGACAUGAAGUCAUCAAUUGCAUCAAAACAAAGGGAACUAAAAUCCUCAGAAAACAGUCACAUUCCUGAGAUAGAUGAGAUUCUUUUCAUGGUAAAGUCAAUUAAAGCAUACUUGAGUAGCAAUGAUGCAGACAAUACACUCACCUGCCAUAUGUGAAUUGGACCAAGGAAUCCAUUCAUACUUUCAUCUUCUUGUUCAUAUAUGGAUUUGAGCCAAACCAGAAAGCCUUUUCCCUUGUGUUUCUUUUUUACUUUGAGUUCAGUAAGUUUGAAACCCCAAUUUGAAACCUGUAAGACGGCUUCCUGUACAAAAGGAUUUGCAUUCCCUUGUCGAACAGAUUCUUCCACAUCUCUUUGCCAGGACUCUUUGAACAGUGGAUGCUCUAUCAAUGCUCUAUCCUAGAAAGAGCCAAGAUUUGAGUAAAGAAUGUCCAAAAAGGAAGUAAUUUACCCUCCUAUGCAAAUUUUGUUUGAAUAGCAUUAUAGUAUAAAAAUUAAAUCAAUAAACAAUUAAUUUUAUGGUUUCCAUACUAAAUCUUACCACUAUUCUUCAAUUAGUUUAACUAAAACAAAUCUUGCAAACAAAAAGAUGUCAAUGCAUUUCAAACAUCAUCAGAGUCAAAAACAGAAACCAUAGUCAAGAUUACUCACCCUAUUUCCAAGUGCCAAUGAAAGCCACUUGUCAAUUUGACCAUGUUUCCCAGACAGGAAGCUUCUACGAUAGAAAUAAGGGAGUAAUCUUGGAAACUUUUUAGCUAACGUAUACAUUAGCUUCUUCUUUCCAGUCCAUUUUGCCCACAUUCUACGCCUCUCUUCCUUAGUCAUACUUGGGUCAUAUGGAUUUACCAUCGGAGCAACCAUGAUAGCACCUUCACGUUAAAAUCAAGGCAGGGUCAGAACCUCAGAACUGAGAAAGGAGGAAAGGCAUUUAAUUCAUCUCUCAUCAUCAGGGUAUGAGUAUUGUUCUGGUGACCGUUCAAAGCAGCCAUCAAUACCCACUGGUACUCAUGAAACAUAGCAUUUAUCAGUACAAUUCAUGUUGGAAUGUGCAUACAGAUGCAGAACCAUGAAAAAUAAAAAAAAUAACAGCAUAGGUAGACAUUAAAUUAUGGAUAAGCAUCCAAUGCUCCAAUAAUCUGGAAAAAACUAGCGAUCUCUCCGGCUUCACAUUAACCUUAUUAGAACUGGGGUUACCUAUGUAGUACCUUUGUCCAUUCAGUCCUCUUGCAGGAAAAGUUGCCCACUACAGAAAAAUUUAUGCAUCCUUAGGGUAGUGUAGGAUAACACUAAAUGACGAAUAACUUUUCAAUUUUUCUCUUCUGAAGAUAAAAUCAUCUUCAUGGCUGACUUCAAGAAUUAAAAGUUCAAAAUAGAUAAGUACCCUUAAACAGAAAUAUGCAAUUCAUUGAGACCGUUCAUGAAAGUAUGCAAAAGUGCAAAUUCUGUAACUUAAAGUCCAAAAUUGACAAAUCAGCCUACUUGAGCUUAAACCAGUUACUUCAUAAGAGUAAACAUGAGAUCAUGUUCAAACAUCAAUCAAUCAUGCAAAGGAUGAACUGACCUGCCACCCUAUCAGGAAUGAAUCGAAGGGCAGCCCAAGCAUGUAUGCUCCCACCAGAAAAUGCCAACACCCAGAAUUUGUCAGUGAUAUUCACACUAUAUGAUAGAUGUACCAUAUCCAGAGCCGAUGAUUCAAGGCCACGAUCAGGAUCAGGAUCGCUUUCCCCAAAUCCUGGAAGAUCAAAUGUCACAAGCCGAAUACCGAAUUCUUGCAGAAGGGAAUCCCUAAUACCUGGUAUUCCUGACAUAAUAAAAUUUUGGAAACAAACAAGUGAAAUGUGAGGUUAAACCACUCUUUGCUCAUCAGAUCCUUGGUUAAGAAUGUGUUGCUUCAUCUCUAUAGAAUCUACCUGCCAAACGAGAUGAAAGAAAAGAAUGUGGCACAAUCACAGAAUAUCUAGCCUGGUCAGCAGGGACACCUUGCUCCUUAUAAGCCAAAUAUCUACCGUUUGGAAGCAAUAUACGAGUAGCACUUGGAGGGUGUAUGCACAUUUUCUUCACCAAUGGAGUAGAAGUGUCGUGAUCAGUAUUUACAAUCAAUACUGCAGAUAGAAAGUGCAGUCAGAAUGAUCCAGCAGAAAUAGGAAGAAGAAUGAAAAGCAGGUGUGCACUAGGUUUCAGGAUGAAAAAAUUAUCUUCAUCGCCUCAUUCGUUUGACAACUAUAUAUAUGAUUGCUAACUGUGAAGUAGAAUCUAUGUUUAAUUGCUAACCACCAUUAGAAUAUAUCAAUCUCUGUUAAUUGUAAUUAGCACGUUUGAAAAUUUUAAUUGAUUACCAAGUAGAUAUUAAUAUCCAAACUGCAUUUCAUCAAUAUAAAUCAAUCCUCAAGAUGACAAGUUCUCCAUGAAUUUCUUUAUCUCGCUCCAAUAUUCCUUAGGAAGGUAAUCUCGGUUUUAUUUCUCUGUUGAUAGGCUUUGUUGUCCUGUCAAACUAAAAUUCGAAUCAUCUGUAAACCUCAGCCAAUCUUGCGUUUUAUCUGUAUACCUCAAACAUGUACAAACCUGUGCUGUGCAGUCACAUGCAUGUCCUAAAUCAAACUCAGCUGAGCAAAAUCAGGAUAAAAUAUAGCAUGUCAUCGCAAAACUUACAAUUACGUGGAUAUGCUACAUUACUUUCACAACUUAAAUAUUAUUGUAUAUUAUACUUGUUUACUCUGCUGAUUUUGAAACAAAAGAUAAUUACAAUCUCAAAACAAUUUAAAGCAGAAAAUCAAUCAAAGAGAAUCACUGUAAAACACUGUACCGGUAAAAGCGAGAAGUAAAACGAAAAGAAUCACAGUCCACGAUUGGACAGGAUCGCGAUCCUCGGGCAGAUACUCAUUCAAGAACCUUAAUUUUCCACAGAUUCUCUCACACGGUCCUCUCAACUUCUUCACAAUCACAGAAUCUUCCCUCACAAUGCUCUGCUUCACUACGUCUCUCACUCCCUUCCCGAACUCCACACUCAUCUCCGCAAAUCCUUUGGCAAACUCCACCACGUGAUACCUCCAGUCCUCCUCGGCCGCCUUCUUCGUGGCCGCCGCAGCAGUGCUCGUGGAAUAGUAUGAUCGAUGCGGUGGUCCGGUGUCGUCCUCCAGUCUCACGAACUCGUCUCCCCAUGUUGACCUUGACUCAUUGACUUCCGACAUUCCCAAAUUUUCAAAAUUCCGGUACAAUUCCAACUCAACUUCGCCGCUCCUGAAUGGCGUAAUCCUCACGCCUCCUCAAAAAUUCAUACUUUCCAUCAGUGCGUGUAGUGUGUGUAUUUGCUUAUAUAGAAUUGUAUCAGUAUGAGAUGUAUAUAAUGACGGUGUGUAUAGACAUAGGUGGGGAUGUAUCUAUAUAUGGAAAUGCAUAUACCAUAUCAAAACAAAGGUGUCAUUUUCUACUUUGCUGAUUCUUUUUAUCUUUAAUUUUCGGUUUGUUUGUAUAAGCCAUUGGAGGGAGAGAGCCGGAGACUAGCAAGCCGUGGAGGCUUUUAACUGGGUUAGGAAAGCGGAGAAUGGAGAGGGACUGGAGUGUUAUUUGGAGAAAGUGUUGGGGUUAAUGGAAAAAAGGGACAGAGUGAAGCUGGGGAGAUAAUGGAGAGUGGAGAUGUGGCCACGUAAGUGAGGAGAUGAGAGUGAGAGACAAAGGCAGUGACCCGGAGUGACAGCGGUUGUUGGUGGUGGUGGGGACGUGGUUAGUUAACGACUGUUACUUGAGAUAGCCGGUUGCCCGCACCGGAAUCUUAAAUUUGGUACACAUAAAAAUUUGCCCACAAAUCUACCAUGAUUAGGGUGAUAUAGUACUAUCAAACGAUGAGAUUUUGUGCGUUUGGAUUUUGGCCUCAUUAGCUGUAAGUUGAUAUUUUGACAUUGAGGACAACUUUCUAAUAAUUGAUCAAGACUUGAACUUGAAGGAUGAAAUUAGACCAAACAAAUUUGGUAAGAUGCAAUGGAUCAGUAUAUUUUUCUAAAUUGUCAGUGUAUCACUUACAAAUUUAGAUGCAUGACACAUUAUUUCAAUUUGAAUUUGAACACUAAAUUUUACAUAUGUAACAUGCAUCUAAAUCCUCUAGUAUAUACAGUUAUAAAGAGUUAUAAAGGUAAAUUUUGAAGUUUGAAAAGGUAUUUUUUUAACAUUACAGACCAGUACAAAAAAGAAAUCAAGGAAUGAACAGUUCAAAAAUGUAAAAUCCAGUGUGUUUAGAUAGUAAAUUAUUUGGAAUAAUUUUUUUAAAAAAAAUAUUAUAACAUUUUUUCUGACGUGAUGUAUGUAAAAUAAAAAUAUGAUUGAAAAAUGCGUUGAUAAUGCAAGCAAAUAAAUUUAUACUAAUAAACCACUGACCAAACAAAUUUGGAACGAAUGGUGUGUGCUCCUUGUUGAGUGGCUAUUGGUUUUCUAAAUUUACUGAAUUUGGCACUGUUAUAAUAUUCAAUUUUUAAGAACUAAAAUCAGCAUUUGUAAAAGUACAAAUUACUCUUAGAGGCUUAUAAGUUAAGAUUCACCCGUUCACUGUGUCCGGAUUGUACUUAGAAGAGAAAAAAGAGGCCAAGUUGAAAAUUAGUCUCAAAUUUUUAUGCACAUGGAAAGGUCGAGGAGUGGGCAAAAAGUCUUCGUCAGUCUUUCUACCAUAAACUGUUGACAUUGAUGAGCGAGCAUUUUAACAGGGACGCGUAAGCAGCUUUCGUUAGCAAUUACUAAUCCUUUCUUUCUCAGCAAAAGACAAUAGAUGUUAAGGUAAGGUACGCCCCCACCGUCACCGCCGGCAUGCACAUCAGCACAUGCAGGAAGACAGCAGGUUUAUUUAUGGUAAGCGAUGCCUGUCCGGGGUAAGCCAAGCAGGGGCGGCUGGACUGAAUCAUUGGAGGAUUGUAUAGGCAAUUGUUUAGAGGUUGGCGUGAGAUUUUAAAAAGAGGGCCGCAUGCUGAUGUUGCCAAAUAUCUAGACCUAAUUCUUUUUGCAUUAUUCGUCAGUUACUAAUCUAAUCCUACUUAUAAACAACAGGAUUCAUUACUAGGCCGAUAAUUGACUUCUAAAACUCCCAUGGUUGGAAAAGAGAAAUAGUAGUGUAGUGUAGUGUAGUCCCGUGGCCUAAUAAUUGCACGUGAAUCUCAAUACUUCCAACCCAUAGUUUAGCCUGAUUUGAGUGGCAGUGGUCCAAACUACAAUGCCACUUGCCUAAAUGAUGCAAUCCAUGGACUGUAAGCAUCAAAGAGAAUUGCCAAAAAACAAGGGGUCGGGGUGUUGGGGGAAAAAGUACGAGGAUGUGGCGCACGUACCGGUCAGGCCACCAUGAACUCAUUUCCAUACUCAACAACUACGGAGCAUUUCAGUUGCGAGAAAAGCAGAAAACAUGAUUGCUAAUACAGAAAACCAACAACCCAUUUUUUUUUUUUUCUUUCUGACAUUUUCUCACGAAAGUAAGAAUUUUUUGCAAAUAAACCUAACUCCCCCGGCCCAUUUAACUCUUUGCAAAUAAACCUAACUCCCCCGGCCCAUUUAACUCUGUGAAUUCCAAUUUCUUUCUGCCGGUUGAUAUAGAUAGUCACGUGACACACAUUGCUCCAGUAAUUGUUUACCUCCGGCAUCAUGAUUCCUGACAGUGAUUUGAUAACUUGGAUCUCCUGUAUCACUACUUAAUGCUUCGCCUCAGAAAUCUAGCCACUACUUCUUUAUGCCUAGAAGCCUGGAACUCCAACACCAUUAUCCACAGGCAAUUGAGGCUGAGAAACAGUAGUGUAGUGCUUAUGAACAAUCAUUACGUCAUCCAUAUGCACCAAGUGUAAAAACCAGAAAGCAAUCGCACGAAAGAUGCAUUAUCUAAAGUUGGAGAACCCCACUUUUUGGAGUACAAAAUACAUCUUCAGUAGACAUUCUUCAAAUGCCCAAGUAAUAAUAAGCCGAUUUGUUUUUCUUUUUAUUCCUACGGAUGAAGUCAAAAAGCUUAAGCAGAAGCCGAGUCUCCAAUCAAUUCUAGUAUCCCCAGUAGUCGUUGCGGAUUUCAUCAUCAAACUUCUUCCUGAGUUCUGGGUGCUUCUCAAAGUACUCGUCUGCUGUCAUGGUACUGAGUUUCUUCUGUAAAAACCAUUGUAGAAGAUUUGAUAAACGAGAAAUAACGUACCAUGCAAGCCUUUGCUUCCACAGAGCCAAGUAAGAAAUCAAGUACUAUGGAGAGAAAAGAGGAAGGGGUGGAUCUGAAACAAAGAAAGUCCAACCUUCAGCUCUUGAACUUCAGCAAUUUCCUUCUCCAGUCUUUCAGACUCUUGGAGUGAUUGUUGCUCAGUGUCUUUGAGCUCCACCAACUGCAAGAAAUGAGAGAAUAUGAAGUUCUUCUUUUACAGUGCUAUCAAACAUGCAUAUCAACACCCAAUAACAAUUUAACUUUUAACUGUAUUUACUAAUAAGAAUCGACUUCAGCCAUAACAAUUUAACUCUUUCUCACCAAAGCAUCAAAUUUCGGCUUGUACUCUGGAGUAACCGUAUCAACGUAUUUUGGAAUCUCAACGCCUAAAAAAAGAAAAAAUCCAUCAAUAAUUUUAGACCAAAUCUCAGAAAAAAAAUUGGUAAUCAAUAUACUCUUGGUUUCCAAAUGAAAACUAUCUUUUGGUUAAAAACAAAAGCAGUACUACAUUUUUUUAUAACUCACAUCAAUACCCUCAACAUGCAAACACAUUUAUUGGUAAUAGAACUAGUUAGAGCCCAUAUGAGAGAGUGAUGUCAUUUCGUUUUCUACUUUUCAAAUUCGAAGUUCCAAGGUUGAUCUUUAUCAAAAUGACCGAUACUGCAUAAAGUAAAUGCAUGAACCUAUGAACUAAGGUUGCCAGAAAGAAGCUAGGUAAGUAGAUGGAUCAUACUCUCAUAUGCCUCUUUGUACAUAUCAACCAAUUUAGAUCCAAUCCCCUUUCUGUAAAAUUCCCAGUCUAUGGGCUCUGGUUCCUGCAUGAUUUAGAAAUUUCCAAAUGAAAACUAUCUUUUGGUUAAAAACAAAAGCAGUACUACAUUUUUUUAUAACUCACAUCAAUACCUCAACAUGCAAACACAUUUAUUGGUAAUAGAACUAGUUAGAGCCCAUAUGAGAGAGUGAUGUCAUUUCGUUUUCUACUUUUCAAAUUCGAAGUUCCAAGGUUGAUCUUUAUCAAAAUGACCGAUACUGCAUAAAGUAAAUGCAUGAACCUAUGAACUAAGGUUGCCAGAAAGAAGCUAGGUAAGUAGAUGGAUCAUACUCUCAUAUGCUCUUUGUACAUAUCAACCAAUUUAGAUCCAAUCCCCUUUCUGUAAAAUUCCCAGUCUAUGGGCUCUGGUUCCUGCAUGAUUUAGAAANNNNNNNNNNNNNNNNNNNNNNNNNNNNNNNNNNNNNNNNNNNNNNNNNNNNNNNNNNNNNNNNNNNNNNNNNNNNNNNNNNNNNNNNNNNNNNNNNNNNNNNNNNNNNNNNNNNNNNNNNNNNNNNNNNNNNNNNNNNNNNNNNNNNNNNNNNNNNNNNNNNNNNNNNNNNNNNNNNNNNNNNNNNNNNNNNNNNNNNNNNNNNNNNNNNNNNNNNNNNNNNNNNNNNNNNNNNNNNNNNNNNNNNNNNNNNNNNNNNNNNNNNNNNNNNNNNNNNNNNNNNNNNNNNNNNNNNNNNNNNNNNNNNNNNNNNNNNNNNNNNNNNNNNNNNNNNNNNNNNNNNNNNNNNNNNNNNNNNNNNNNNNNNNNNNNNNNNNNNNNNNNNNNNNNNNNNNNNNNNNNNNNNNNNNNNNNNNNNNNNNNNNNNNNNNNNNNNNNNNNNNNNNNNNNNNNNNNNNNNNNNNNNNNNNNNNNNNNNNNNNNNNNNNNNNNNNNNNNNNNNNNNNNNNNNNNNNNNNNNNNNNNNNNNNNNNNNNNNNNNNNNNNNNNNNNNNNNNNNNNNNNNNNNNNNNNNNNNNNNNNNNNNNNNNNNNNNNNNNNNNNNNNNNNNNNNNNNNNNNNNNNNNNNNNNNNNNNNNNNNNNNNNNNNNNNNNNNNNNNNNNNNNNNNNNNNNNNNNNNNNNNNNNNNNNNNNNNNNNNNNNNNNNNNNNNNNNNNNNNNNNNNNNNNNNNNNNNNNNNNNNNNNNNNNNNNNNNNNNNNNNNNNNNNNNNNNNNNNNNNNNNNNNNNNNNNNNNNNNNNNNNNNNNNNNNNNNNNNNNNNNNNNNNNNNNNNNNNNNNNNNNNNNNNNNNNNNNNNNNNNNNNNNNNNNNNNNNNNNNNNNNNNNNNNNNNNNNNNNNNNNNNNNNNNNNNNNNNNNNNNNNNNNNNNNNNNNNNNNNNNNNNNNNNNNNNNNNNNNNNNNNNNNNNNNNNNNNNNNNNNNNNNNNNNNNNNNNNNNNUUCAACUUUUUAACCUUCCUAUUCUAAGUUAGCCUUACCAUCUUCCUUUUUUAUAUAUGUCCAAACCCUGAAAUCAAUGUGUUUUUUGUUAUGAUUCUGGUUAAUUAUGUUUGGAUUUUAGCUGAAUGAAAUAGAGCACUAUCAAUUAGAGAACAGAAUAUUUUUCGUGGAUAAUUAUCAUUUUAGUCUUUAUUUAUUCAGAUUGUUGCCUGACCUUCGAUUGUAUGGUUGCAGGUUGUCAAAAAGGUCAAAAUCCAUGUUGCAUCCGUUGAAGACACAUGGGCUGUGAAGUUUAUGAAUUUUAUACUUGGGGCAAAUCAGUUGCUAUUUGAUGGACUGACGCGUGAAUUGCCUUUGUAAGAUUCUCGUGUAUUUUAUGCAUUUUAUGAUUUCUUCUGCCCCUUUCCUCUUGUGUGCAUUCUCAGUUUCUUGCACACCAACACACGUUCGCACAAACAUGCACCUUGUUGUGUGCAAAGCUCAUGCUUCCAGACACUGCAUUUCAUUUAUUGGGUGAUUCUGGAGUAUAAUAGGUCUUCUUGUGAUCUGAUGGCCUGGUAAUACCACCAGAGUAAGCUUUGAAGAAGGUCUAUGGAUGGUGGGAGUAAUUGAUGAAAUUCGAAUGCCUGUUACAGAAACUGAAAGAUAUCCUACAUUAGUUGAUACAAAAACUCGUGCACGAGCAAAGCUUCCUACUGAAGCACAACAGAGAAAUGGAAGGUACUAUCAAGUGUGGUUUUUGGUCAGGUUGCUGAGGAAGAUACCAGCUAAUAGCAUUGCUUCUUGAAAUUGAAGCAAUACAUUUUUCUUGGACGUUGAUAAAUUGGAUAGUGUUCUAGUCCUGUAGUAAAAUUUCAAUUUACAUAUCAUUGUGGCUCAGUAUAAGGGAUUACCUGUAAUAUACCCAUUUAUGCACUUUGAGUGCUUAUUUUUGUGUUUAAUUGAACAUCUUAUCCUUUGCAUUUAUGCAGACUCUGAAUGAUUUGGUGGCAUACUAUCGAAAUACUUGUUGUAUGCUGCCUCCAGCUCAGGACCAACUGUUACUAAGGUUGGUUAAGGAUUUCCAUGUGUUGUUAGAUAAGCGCUAUAUGGACUGCCGAAUUUUUUUCUCCAUCUCCUAGCAUGGCUUCUGGUGAUGAAUUUUAACCAAUUUCAAAAGAAGACAGCACUGACGUUUCGUAUGAUCUGUGCUCUUCAUUUCCUUUUCAUGUUUUCUGACCUCCUUCCCUCCACAUCUUUCCCAAAAUUUUCCACUUUCAGCAUGUUUUACAACAAUAAAGUCCAGGUCUAGUUUCUGCCAUUUGCCUAUAUUGAUGAUUAUUCUGAGCGCUAAGAAAAAAGAUUUGAGGCUAUGUCCACCCAGUGACCUUAGGCAGGCUAAAAGUUUACAGGUGCUUUUCUUUUUCCUAGAAGAUAUUUCAUUUGCCCUUUAUCAAGUGCCUACUAGUAUAUAGAAGAAGUUGAGACUAAAAACGAAGAGGGACUUGCAGAAAUUAAGCUUGUCACUUAUCCUCAACAUUGUACAAUUGAUGUUCACUUGUUCCUUAUCCAAAAGUUUGCCUUUUUUUAUUUGUCUUUUUGGGUUAACGCUUUUAAAAGACUUUCAUUUGGAAAACCACAAAUCACUCAGGGCACUCUGCGGUAGUCCAUUUUACACUAGCAAGAAUAUUGUCUUCUACAGGUAUGAAUACCAAGAAGAUCAAUCUUUGAUCGGUGAAGAUCAGUUUGCUUAUGAUGCUGAUUGGCUCAAUAAUCAACUCAAGUCUUGUCUGGAGUUCUGGCGAGGGGAACGAGAACCCAGUUAUGCUGCAGAAGAGGAGCGGUGGAAAUGCAACUUCUGCAGUUUUUAUUCCCAGUGUCCAGCAAACUCCAAACUUGAUCCACCUAGCUAAAGAAGUAGCCGAAAUAUCAAUUUUUUCACAAGAUCAGAUUUCAGAUUCGAACUGGAAUGCUUACUUUGAAGGAGCAUGAAUUUGCUGAUGAGCUUCUUCGUGGUUCAUUUGGCAGUUCUUGUCGGUCAUCUCAAAUUACUGAUUUAUUCAUUCUUGUUCUACUGUACUCCCAGUGCUGCUGAGGGAUUUGAUUAUUCAUUGUUGUAGCAAGAAAAUGUCACUGAUCUCCUUGAUCGGUUAUUUGUCAUUGUUGUCCCACCCAUUGUAGGAUGGUGGGACGGGAAUAUUAAGCGGUUUGCUAACAGGAUGGAAUUAUUGAUGCUAUGCUUACUGCAUCAGAAAACCAUUAAUACACAUAUUUGGCUGCUAUUUUCAUUUCUUCCAUUCUUUGUGCACUGAAUUUAUUUAUUUAUUUUUUAUAGCCACUCUAGCUAAAGGGGCUAAAUUUCCAGAAAUUUUGGGGAUACAAAUUUUACCGGAAGGAAAUUUUAGGAUCAAGAUCAACAACUUUUACCAUGAUGACAUUUUAAUAUCAAGUAGUACAAGAAAGUCACCUCAUAAAGGAUACUUUGCCUUGGUGAGCCAUAGCUCAUGAGAUAUCAUUAAGAGGUUAAGAGUCCGGGAAGUUUUAAUUCUCUUUCUCCUCCGCUGUUUAUUAUAAAUCCCCCACCCCUCCCCGUUAAAAAAAAUUAAAAAAAAAAUGUUACCUUAGUAUACAUACAAUUUUCAGUGAUUAAGCAUUGUUGAAUGUUAAUCAAAUGAAUUAUCGGCUUCACCUGGAAACAAUAUUUUAGUUCCUUGGUACUAAUACUGAUUUAAAAACUUACUUGUACUAGUUAAUUUUAGAUAAUCUUAAACCUUAUGAACAUCGUCAAAGCUUGAUGAGUUGAAGUUAAUGAGCCUCUGGACUAUUAAAAUAUGGGCCUCAACAUUAAAUUUAAGCCCAUUUUGAAACUUGUCAAUCAAAAGUGCAGUCCAAUUCAUCGCCUCCUGCUCUCUUUACUGUCAAACUAAACCACUGGUAUGCUACAAUUCAGAGGAAGAGAGCUUCAUUCCCGUUGUUGUUCAAAAUCUGCUUCCUCAGAGGUUUGAUCUUUCUUAUCGUUACUCAUGGUUGCUCCUCCUAAUCCGUAGUCGAUCUAUUUAUGCAACCGUGAAUUCCACCUGCCUAUGUAUUGUUAUUGAAUCAUGUUUUGAUUCAAUUGUUCUCUUUUUCGAAGCUUUGCUGUGAACCCUUCACCUUACCUUGCCACAAAUUCAAUAUGUUUGAGUUUAAUUGCUUCCAAGAAUCGUAUCACGAACUUCUGCUGUAGCUUUUAAUAUCCAUAUGUUGUUCAUUUUGAGUUGGGCUGUGUUCAUUUCACAUUUUCAUUAUGCUUUCAGUACCAAGAAAUCACGUCACAAAAAUUCGGUCCAAGAUGGUAUCUUUGUGGCAAAAUCUAUCUGUUAGGGGCUCAGAAGUUCAUAGUUCUUACUUAAAGAUUGCCCCACGUUUAGCAUCCUUUUAUAAUCAUUCAAUAGUUACUCAUUCUUUUCAUCCCAUUUCCAGUAUAUGGAAUUUUAGAUGCCAUUCAGCUCCCAUCCAGAUUUCAAUUGCUUCAAAUCAAACACUCCUGGUUGCAUUUUCCCUCUCACUUUUUCUGGUUUCUUUUUAUUCUACAAGUCCAUAUCCAAUUCGACGCCUGAGGGGACCCCCUUCAAGAUCUUUAAGGAGGAGAAUGAGUAAGAGGGCAAAAGCUGCCGCAAAACCUGCUCUAGAUGAAGCCCAAUUUGAGAGGGCUAUUUCUGGGCUCCCACCUAGGUUCACUCCCGAGGAACUUUGCAAUGUCAUAGUUUUAGAGAAGGACCCUUUAGUUUGUUUGGAGUUGUUUAAUUGGGCUUCAAAACAGCAUAGGUUUAGGCACAAUGUUUCAAGUUUCCACAUUACAAUAAAGAAACUUGGUGCUGCAAAAAUGUACCAAGAGAUGGAUGAUGUUGUUAAUCAAGUGCUUGCUAUUCGUUCUAUGGGUACGGAAGCUCUUUACAAUACAAUGAUCUAUUAUUUUACAGAAGCUCGAAAAUUGACUAGAGCAGUGAACAUAUAUAAUCACAUGAGGGAUAUCGGAAAAUUGGACUGCAGGCCUUCAAUUACCACAUUUAAUAUCCUUUUUGCAGCUUUAUUGAGUAGGGGAAAGAACUCAUACAUAAAUCACAUGUAUAUGGAGACAACUAGAUGCCUUUUCAGACAAAUGAUCGACGAUGGGAUUGAACCUGAUAUUUUCUCCUUGAAUUCUAUGAUAAAGGGAUAUGUGCUUUCACUUCAUGUUAAUGAUGCCCUCAGAGUAUUUCAUCAGAUGGGAGUGGUCUAUAAGUGCUUGCCUAAUUCCUUUUCAUAUGAUUACUUGAUCCAUGGAUUGUGUGCGCAAGGAAGAACGAAUAACGCCAGGGAGUUGUGUAUGGAAAUGAAGGAGAAAGGAUUUGUCCCUAGUAGUAAAUCAUACAAAUCAAUUGUGAACUCCUUGGCUCUGAGUGGAGAAGUUGAUGAAGCGGUGAAGUACUUGUGGGAGAUGACUGAAAACCAAAGAUCAGCUGAUUUUAUCACCUAUAGGACCAUACUUGAUGAAACUUGUCGCCAAAGAGGGGCCGAAGAUGCCAAGCAUUUAUUGCAAGAGUUACAAGGGAAGGGCCUGCUAGACGGGCAUACUUGCAGGCAGCUUCUACAUGAGGUUGAAGGAAAUAUCGGAAACUCACAUUUCAGAACUCAAUUCAGGUACCUCAAUUUGUAGAUUUUUCAUUUUCCCAAGGAUCUAAGAGGGAAAAAUGCCUCGGCAUCAACUCUAGGAGUAAUAUGCCAGCAUGACCUGAUACCUCUGUUUUCUUUUUGUCCUAUCAUUUUUAGGCUCUCAUGGCAUAAGACAAUUCUGAACUUUGAACAAAGUUGCUUUCGUUAUCUGUUUCUCUGUCUUGUUUAAAAGGAACUGCCCAAGACGAGAGUUAGGGUUUUGAGUUGAUUAGAGUUCUUAAACUAUAUCCAUUUAUGCUAAAGUUGAGCCAUAACUACAAGGACUACUUAGAAAGUGCUUUCAUUAGGUUCUUUGACUACUUGGUUAUAUUUUUAACUCAGAUAAUACAAAUGUAGUUUGUCGAGAGGUUUACAGCUAAAAUUGCUUUGUUGCUCAAUUAAAUCUUUUGCUGUUCUUGCAGCUAAGAGCGAGCGGUGGAAUUUGUCUACUUCAUAUCCAUGCUAAGCCACCAAAAAUAUGUGAGAUCUAUGGAAAAGGCUUUGCAGUGGUCUUGUUAGCUUGUAAAAGAACCAAUGUUCUUCAGAUAAGUCCAAGGUAAUUUCGUUUUCCAGCCUUGAAUGGUUCUCUAAUGUUAAUAUCAACUUAGCGACCUGGUUCAUGUUUUUGUUUUCCAGCCUUAAAUGGUUCUGUAAUAAUAACUUGAACCUGGUUCAUGUUUACGAUAACGAGCUUUGUUUGUUUAUAAUAUACUGUGAUGAAAAAGCUGGAGUCAUUUAGAACUAGACGCUAGGGAAGUGACUGUCUCUAACAAGAGAUUUUCACAAGAGGGAGAUAUCAUUUAUGGGGACAGUGAAUAAAUAUGGAUGUUGUGAUGAAGUAGCCAAAAUUAAGCAGACCUAUGCAGGAUUGUGAGAAAUUGUUCAUUGUGGCAUUCCAUAACAAUGUAAGGUAAGUUAAGCCAAUAUCAGGUUGGCAGCGAAAAGUCAGCAUUUGCUUGGCAUUAGGCAGUGUUUAGUUGUUUUUCAAGUUCUGAUGGACCACAUUUGUCAGGAUUGAGGAGUUUCUUCUAGUUGUUUAACUUAUCCCUAAUAAAACUAUACAGAAUAAAUCAUUACUUCAUGCACUUCCAGAAGUCAAACCUAUUCUGUGCUAUUUUGCAGUGCUCCUUUUUCCCUUCCUUUCUAAAGAGUGUGGAACAUCUAUCUUACCCUGUUCUAAGAGAAGGAAAGGGAACAUUAAAAUGUUGGAAGACUUGAAUAAAUCUUCCGGUAGCAAUUGGUGCCUAAUGUUCAAUGGCCUUGAUUAUUUGUUCUUGGUUUUCUAGGAAUUCUUUACGUGGAUAAGCAUUCAGUUCUGGUCUAUCUUGCCUGAUGACUAACUGGAGUUUGCCUGGAAUCAAAAUCAAUGGCUGCAGAUGUUGUGAGAAGAUCAGUUGCUUGUCUGCGACAAUUGAGAUGCAUAUACUGAUUGGGCCGGGAAAAGAAAAACAUCAGUCUGCAUUGCUGGAAAAGAUUUUCUUUUUCUUUUAGGGAAGUGCCCAAUUAAGUUUAUAAAUGUGUGGUGGCUUGGAGGUGACCACAUAACUACGCUGUAAAUAAAGGGGUUGUCUACUGCCAAUGAGCACUGUUACUUGUGAUUAAACGAGCUGGCAAAAUCUGAAAUCUCUUGUAGAAAAAAUAAAUGGUAAAAAAGAGCACUUAUGUUUCUAGUGUGAGGAGAUGGCUAAGGUCUAUGCCCAGCUUGCCACCUUAAUAUGAUUUUCGGUGCGUUUGUUAAGCCUGGCGUGCUUUUCAUUGUAUGUUGUGGUAUCAUUUUGGUGUACCUGCUUUGUGAGUUGAGAUGUAUUACUUAAUUACCAUACUUAAGUUAGUAGACCUCUUUUGGCAUUGCUCCUCCUGUUUUGUUAUGAGGGAGAAUGAUGACAUUAGUCAUUGCUUGGCAAAAUUUGCCAUUAAACUAGUUUAGGAAGUUAAAUCAGAAACAAGUUUUCCAAUGUGACUAAAAAGCUAGUCACAAUCUGUUGAUAGGACAGUUGCCCAACAAUUGUAAUACUUUUGAAUAUCUUAUUAAAGUUUAUAUGAAAGUUACCGUUUGCUCCCAAAAAAAAAAACUGAACAAAUUGAUUAAAAUACUAUCCUAAGCACAGACUUACUGCCCUGUUGCAGAUGGAUCAACUUUCAAGUGGCGGUUGUUUUUUUUUUUUUUUUUUUUGUGUUUGGGGGGGGGGGGGGGGGGGAGAGGAGUUAAAGAAAAAGAAAAAGACAAAAUCAUCCUUUUAGAUAGUGAAACAUCCAGAGCUUCUGUAAUUAUAAUGUAGAACUUAACACUAAAAAUACAGACAUUAAACUAAUUAAUGUAAAUAUUAAGACUACGAUAUGUAAAAACACAAUAAUAAUUUCUUUUGUUACUUGUUGAAAUUUGUGCCCACAACUUCAAUUUUAGCCAUCAAAUUACAAAUUACUUUCUCUGAACCAUUAAUUGCAUGCUGCAGCUACAGAAGAUAUGAAUCCUGAAAACAUCAUUUAAAUCCAAAUCCGUACCGGGGGAAGGACACGCAUUAGUAGUUCAAGAACUAGAGUAUGAAUACGAGUAGGACUAGGAUUUUUCGUAAAUAUGAUACAUGAAGUGGUCUGAUUCAUAUCAUGCAUUAGUAUUUAGAAGAGUUAAUAGCGUUUUGCCCCCUGAAUGUAAGGAGUAACAACACUUUGUUCCCGUCAAUGAAGAAAAGGCACCUUACCCACUCAAGAAUCUUUUGUUUGGUAUUUGUAGCAGGUAUUCUUUUUUUUCUUGUAAAAAGUAAGAAAAUGAACUACUCAUAUAUGUUGACAAUUCCACCUCUAUAUUAUCUUCAAUCAAAUUAAUCUUGUAGAAACAAAGUUAUAACCUCCGCCUCCCUCCACCACUUCCCCUCAAUUUCAUAUCAUAGAGUUGUCAACAGUCUAUUUUUGGGAAUACUUGACACAAGCUCCAACUGAAAUAUUCUCAAGCAGGCAAAGAGCUUACUGUUUUUCAUUGAGGGGGCAAAAUGUUAUUACCCCCACUUUCAGGGGGACAAAGUGUUACUAGCCAUAUUUAGAAUGCGAGCACAGAGACACAACAACGCCCCGGCUCAUGAACAUUAAACUGCAACUUAUACGAAAUUGUUGAACGUUUCUGGAUUUCUGCUCCCUACCAAAAGAUUUCCCACUCAAAUAAAGCUAGGAUCCUAUAAAAAAAAAAGAAAAAAAAAAAGGAAAAAGAAAAUAGAAGAGCAAAGAAUUGUGAAUCAAAAUGCCGUGACAAACUCCACAGACUGUCGAUAUUCCAUGAUCCAUCCCUCCAACUGCAAAGCAUGGUCUCCUUUCUCAAGUCCGUGAGAGUCGAAAGGAUCUGAAAUUUUGCAUUUUUUUUUCUCUUAUUUGCGGAGUCAAGUCAUGUAUAAUUCCUAUGGAACUGCAAAUACAGACUACAAAACUGUAUCAGCUCGGCUUAUUAUAUACAUGGAAUCCGCAAAAAAAAGGCCACUUUGUACUCGGGUAACUGCAUGGCCUAGAUUAUCUUGAAACAUGGAACUUAAUAGAAUUGCAGGACGCCAGUUAUCGUGAUGGGGGGAUCAAUCCCUACACGAGUAGCCUUCCCUUCCGUAACUAACUGUGGCAAUGCGUUGGCAUCUUUGGCUGCAACUCCUUCACCAGUCCAUAAUGUGACAUGAGGCCACUGGUUUUUAGAAGUUAUCUUUUCACCAUUUACCGAGCCUGUGUGAGCUUCUAAUGCUGCCAAUUUCCCAGAAAAUAGUAGCGCAGUUAUAUCCACAGGUACCCUUUCAUUAAGAAACGAGCCAUAAUUUGCAACAGCAGUAACACCAUGACUUCUCUUGUGAGCCAGCGUCACAUGAGCUUUUGUGAGACUAUCCUUCAGAUUUUUCUCCUUGAAGAAGGUUUCAAUGCCGGGAUCCUUCUCAGCUAUCUGAUUCAAGAAAGGAAACAAUACAAAAUCUGUUAUACUAAUUUUCAUCCCAUAAAUUCAACAGAAGAGAAAUGAGGGAAAUGUGAAACCAAAUCCUUGAGUAAACAAGAAAACAGCAAAGAAAGAAGUAAAACGUAUUCAGCAAUCACAUUGCCAAAUUUCCUGGCUCUUUUUUUCAUUUCCUUUUUUUUUAAUUAAAAAGAAAAGGUAGUAUGCGACUCAAAACCAGAAAAGGUUAUCCAUCCAGAAUGAAAUGUGAAUGUCACGUUGAUACUUGCUUGACCCUUCCCAGACCACGCUACAAAUUAUAGACGUAAGAAGACCAAGACAGAAAGGUCCGUAGCUAUUAUCAACUGCACAGAGGACUUCAGAAUCUCAAAUUACGUAUGCCACAUGGUUCCUCAUGAACUUCUAGAAGAGCAAGUGGAAUGAGGCAAGACCUAUCAUGGGUCUGAAGGCUAUUCAAUUACAAAAGGUUUUGAAUCUUCAUGGAAAAACAGAAUUGGACUGGAAUUGGAGUAUCCAUAAAAUUUAACGUUCUACUCAAGUGCUACAAGCCCAAUUUAUAUCCAAUUAAGUUCCCAUCCUAAAGAACCAAAGAUAGAAUAAAGAAAAUCUCACUAAAUUUACUAUGCUAUGCAAGAGAAAACACUUGUUAACUCACCCUUUGGAGGAAUUGAUGGAUUUCUGCAACAGGCAAACUCACAGCAGCGUAUACAAUAGCCCCAAGCCUUCUUUUCUCAGUUACUGGUGCUGAAUACUCACCCUUUGCAACUGCUUUUAGUUGUUCCAAGACUUGCUUGACAGCAAAUUCAAAUGGAACCUGAAAGGACAUAUAAUGAGAAACCAACACAGUGAAAUUAAGAACUCCACCCCACAAAUGAAGGACAAGAUGUUUGACCAGAGCAGAUUUAUUAUGGUUGUUUUCCCCAUUAAUUAUAUAUGUUCACAUUUUAGUAUGUACAAACCCAAGUGAGGAGGUUUGCUUUGGACUUGGUGUGGGCUUCAAGGUUAGGCUAGUUCAGCUAAUUCUUGUGUAAUAAGCUUCCAUGGCAAAAGCCUCCAAGCAAACCACUUAUGCAUCAUAUUGAUCCUCAGUGCACCAAGUUCUUCAGGAAGAGGGUAUUACUAACUGAUGUGCAAAUGAAAAUGAUGAUAGGAUAUUAUACAAGCAUCCAAACCAAAUAGGCAUUCACCUGCACCGAAUCAAGGUACUCAGAAUUGCUUAAUAAAAUCUCUCGCAAUUCCUUCUCCCAUUUAGUCCAUUCUGUUGCAUAGGUUCCUUUGGUUGACUCCAAUCUGAAAGAAACACAGCUCUCGACUGAAUCAAUUGGGAAACCUCCUUUAUUAUGGUUCUCAGGACACAAAUCCAGAACAAGAUGGAAAUAUGAUUACCAACCUUCCAUGCCUGCUUGUGUGAAGCUUGUACAGGUUUAUCCCCUCUUCCAAAACAGAACUCACAGAAACAGGUAGAGGAGACCUACAGGUAAAGGUAAGAAAGAAAGACACACUUGAAGCACAUUAAAUCAGAAGAAAAUAAGCAUGUCUCAAUUUGUAGCCCUCAGGAAAGGAAGGAACUGAUUAUACCAUUAAAGAAACCAAAGGGAGAAUGGAAAUAACAUGUAUAUCAGAAAAACAAACAUUAUAGACACAGUACCGACUUAACAGUUUGUUCUGAUAUAAUCCAUACUGUAAAUACUUCUAUGAUAAUGAAAUGAGUAUCUUGAUAGAUCACAACCAAAUUGCGCCUAUUUCAUUUCUAAGUUAGGGAUGCUUUGAAAUGCAAAUAUAUUGGAAGGAGUUGACGAGAUUACAGAGUUAAAAUCAAAUAUUUUCUUUACGUUAGCAAAGAUUAGUAAGCCAUAGUGUAGACAAAAUUGACUAUAGAAAUUGGUGGGGGCACCAGAAAGUGGAUAAGUCAACAGAAGCCCAAAAGUUUUAGUGGCAAGCAUGUAAAGCUCUUUGUUUUUAAGAGACACUGUACACCAUAACUAUGUACACUAACCUGAAGUGUUGAUAAAUUACCUUUGCAGAAGAAAAGUGAGAAAGUAAAACUACAAAUAUGGUUCUAAACAUCCACAACAUUUGUCCUCACCAGGAAGACUGAUCCAAUUUUAAGAAAUUCAAAAGUUUAAUGACAGAGAUCUUCAGAGUAGAACAGCAGACCUAUUAGGCUUCAGUAAAGGCAUCUUCACAAGAGAGCCAAAACGUUCAAUUAACUCGGCCUCAAACUCCUUGCGGCUCUGAUAAAGAGCGGACAAUAAGAUAAGGAAGAAAUUUUAAAUAAGCAACAACCAAAAAAUGCGUGGAAAAACAACUACCUUGCCCUGGUAAAGGUGGUAAAACAUUAGCAACACAUAGCCAACAUUUGGAGAGGACUUGUCAAGGUUCCCCUUCAAGUCCCAAAAAAUAAAUAAAAUGUCAGCAACAUUGUACUCGAUUUCCUAGGAGGUGUGCAUCAUACAAACUACUGAAAACGAAAGUGAGAAAUACCGGAUGAUUAACACGGUGAAGCACUCGAUAUAUGAAAACAGCAAGUGCGUCAAGUGAAAAUGGAUUUGAUUCGGUUCCUGUAGAUUUAACCCAUUAAGUUCUACAUACAUGCUACAUGAAGCUAAUUUACAAAUCUAAUUAAUGAAAACUGGGAACAAUUUUAUUCUUGAAUCCUAGCAUAUUAUUUCACCAAGCAAAUAUAAAAGUAGACAUCUGGAAGGAAAUUAAAAUGUCAUUUGAAAACAAAUGUGAAUUGGGAAGAUUUUACAGAAUUAACAUAUCAUAUGAAUUACAUAUAAAAUUGCCGCAGAUCCCUGAUACUAUCUGCCAGAGCAAUGAAUGAAAAGAUCCACAAAUGAAAAAGUAAAGAUCGCUGUUCGUAUCAUACCGGCGCAGGCCCUAUGCAUUUCUUAGACUUACAACCUCUAUAAUAUGCAGCUAUAACUUCACAAAAAACUCAAUUAAAAUAGAAUUUCAUAACCUUCUCUAGAAGACUAAACCCAGAAAACAAUUAACCCAAUCCAUAUUGCAGUCCUAAAUGAUUAUGGUAUAGGGAGAUUGGCUCAGAAAAUUAGCCAGAAUGAACGAACACUUCGAACAAAUAGGGCUUUAAAAGACCACUCUCCCAACUAUCCAUUUAUAUAUUACUUAAAUUGGAGAGAAUUCUACAGAAAACACAAGUACUCUGAUGGUCAGACAUUUCUGAUGGUCAUAAGCGAAAGCACUUGAUGACCUAAGAUGGUUGACUACCCAUUUCUCUCUGUACUACAUGAGCAUGCUGCUUCUACACUAAGGAAUCACAUACAUCCUUCUUGCACAUGCAUGUGAACGUUUCCUACACGCUAGUGACAAUCAUGCAGCAAGUGCAUAGUGGUUGGACAUGGUAAUUCCUACCCUUUAGCUGCAAUGAUUGUUGACCGAUAAGUCAGGAAAUAACAUUUAACAAAUGAAUCCAAGCAAAUGUCCAAAUUACACAACAGAGGAAAGGACAACAUAAGAGUGCAAAAUAGCAAAACAAAUACUUUCAACAAACAAGCCAUAUAUACUCUGUGAGUGAGAAUAUAGAAGAUCAAGAGAAUGAAACAAAAUGCUAGAAUAGGACCUUCUGAAUCUGGUACGACCGGAACUGCAGAAGCUUUGGUGCGUCGGCACAUGUCCUCAAUCUGGAGAAAUUAAAUGAAACCUCAUCAAGCAAAAUCCAAAGAAUAAAUGAAAGCAUAAAGGAGAACAGCAAGCCCUCCUUCCGCCGGCCCCAAAACACCCCAGUCCAAGAUAAUGGAGCACAGACCAAGAAGAAAAAGUCCCCACACCCAACUUCCUUUGAAGGAAAAAGUAGAAAAAACAGGAACAUUGUGUGAAAAAACAGGAUGCUAAUAGGUGAUACGUAGUUCAACAGGUAUAAAACGAAAAGGAUUGGAAAAAAGGAAAAAAGUGAACAGUGAAAUUUAGCAAAUUUGGUCCCUACAAGGCAAAUUGUUACUAGUCAGAUUCAUUAACAAACUCAAGGGAAUGUGAUCUCAACAAGUAACCUGUUUCCAAACUUCCUCGUUCGGUGCAUUCUUGUCGGCAAGCAUUAUCGAAUAAGGCUUUCUCCGGCGUUCAUCAGCAACCUUCUGCCAAUACCUACCUAUUGAAAUUUAAUGCACCAAGAGUAAAUACAGUAUCAGAAUCUAGAAUGAGCAAGCCAAUCUUAUAAUCAGAUUUAAGAAGCAAUCCAAUCCCCGCUCUUUAAGGGAGGAGAAAUAAUAUGGAAGUUGAUUCAAUUCUUGGAGUGGAAUGAUCACAAGAAUGCAAUGAGGCAUGCAAAAUGAGUACCCAUAUCAUCUUGCCUUCCUCAACAUUUCGCUGUCUAUCCCCCUACGGUACAUGUGCCCAUUAACCAUCCACUAAAUGAGAAUUAGUGAGCUUUACUAGAAUAAAAUGUCCAAUGGAAGUAUCCCAAGAUUUCAGUUUUCAUCAUUUUAAUCUACUGUAUUUCCAGUAAACUUCCUAUUGGUACUGGUUUAGUAGUAUAGCCAGCACAUGAUGUACCAAUUGAAACCAUGAUCUCUGAUGUCAGAGCAGAAGGUUCAUCUCUAGUCAUUUAUAAGACAUGCAAUAAGCUGCAGCACGAAAUCUUAAGCUUUGCAAGAGCUUUCUAAACAGGAAAGGUCUUAAAAAUUGAUAAUCUCCCGAUAGUUGCGAUUGAACAACAAAAAAUUCGAACAGAAAACCAAUUCAAUAACACUCUACAGAUGAACCUGUAUGUUUAAAAUGCAUCAGAUAUUUAGAAUGUCAUUGAGCUCAUACCUUUUAUAAGAUCACCCAUCAAAGUGUUAACUGGUCGGUCAUCCUCAAGGACUCCAGGGGCAUUUAAAAUUUCCCUACAAAGCGCAGAUUUUGCACAACCAGGUAUUCCUGAAAGUCGAAAGCAGUUAGUCCAUAUAAGAUUGAUUUAGUGGGUGCAUAUCUUAGGUGGAGAGGGAAGAAAGAAAGAAUGCAUGACAAGCGAAAACAUCUUCAAUGGUAUAAUAAUAACGAUAAAAGAGAUGUGUGCAUAUCAGGAAGUGUUAUCCUCCAACCAACAGGUAAACUGAUAUGCAAUGAGCAAAAAGAACGGCUUACACCACAUAAGAAGUUUCAACUAGCAAGUGAUAGAAAAAGAAAUCAGAUUAUACAUCUAGUGGAUUUCUAAGAUAUAUAAUUAACAAGUUCAUGAUCAUCAGAUGGAACAUACUUCUAUUCUCUUACCCUCCCUACCUAAAUGGAACCAAAAGGAAAUGAAGGAGCUCAAUGAUUGUCAACAUUAAAUAAGCAUCAAUAUAAUAUUCAAUCUAAACCCGAUAUAUGUCAAAAAAAAAAGUCAAUCCAGUGAUCUCAAGAUGAAUAGGCUGGCCCACAAUUUUCCCAUCCAGCCAUACCUGGAAAGAAGACAAUGAGGCCCUCAUCCUUGGCAACUCUGUCCUUAACUGUAGUUACUGGUCCUGCAUCCCUCUCUUGCUCAAGGUCACCCUCUUCAUCUCUUCCUCCCUCAAUAAUGGCCAAGAAGUCUUCUGAUCUUACUAAGUUUCCAGCAGAUCCUAUCAAAGCUUGAUUUUGUGGACUGCGCUUUGCAUAUUGCUCCAGAAAAGGCUCAGCCUCACUAAGGUAUACAGAAGAAGACAGCAUUUUGUGUCCAUACUUUCUGCGUAUGUAUACUGCCCUGAGAAAGAGGUUAGAUUAUUAGAUGCUUCACAUAAAGAAAUGUAAGUGAUCAUGAAUGAAACCAUGGAAAUGAUUCCAACAUUACCAUUCAUCGAGCAUUUUGCUCAAUUCCCUUUGCUUUGUAGGUGAAGUAUUCCAUAUCUUCAUUUGUCUACAGAAACAGGAAAUUAUGAAAUGAAAAGUAAGCAAAAUAUAUCUGCUGUAACAGAUUCUUUCUAUUCUUAUUGAGACCUUUAAGCUUCACGGAAAUUUCAUUUACCUCAAAUAGUAGGCUUUGUAGGCAGAUGGACCUUCUUUAAAGAGAUUAGACAAGCCAUUCCUGAUCAAAAAGGUUCGCAACUGCACCAUAAAGAAUCAAAUAAGAAACUAAAGAGUACUGCCAUGAAAUUAGUUAGUGUCCCACAAAAGAAUGUUCAUUUAAAAGUUCUUAGAGUUGAAAACAGAAGUUCUUUAAAAUUUCCAUGAAGUAGCAAAGGGAAAGUAUAUGAAAUUUCCUUCAUGUCAUUAAAGUUGAAAAGUUCUUUAAGAAUUAGGUAAUUGGUUUUGAAAGGUUAUUUACAUACUCCAAGGAACUAGAAGUUCAAAGAGAAAGUUAUCCAAAACUGUGCUUACAAACCAAACAUUCAUUCCCUCACUUCAAAAAUUCCUUGACUUUCCACUGUUCCUUCAAUCAAAACAAUGUCACAGUUUACACUAAAUUUCAUUCCUUGGCUUUCCACUGUUCCUUUGAUCAAGCAAUAUCACAGUUUUACACUAAAUUUCAGCAAAUGAAAUUAAAAAAAAAAACCAAUUUAGAAGAUGCAUUGUAAUUAGCACAGCAGAAGCCAACUGAGGAAAGGAAGAAACAAAUGUUGUAUCUGUAUACUUAAUCUACAAUUUGUACCAUUGUACUUUCUAUCUGAAUAUCUGUUGUUUCAAUUCCAAUCAACAAGCAAGAUAUAGUUAAAUGAUAGAAUUAAUGAUCAACACUUGAGGAAGCUUUAACGGAUAAAACAGAAAAAAUUCACCACCAAUGAUAUGAUUAAAGGAUCUGUAGCUCAUUUUAAAGAGCAUGCAACAUGCUAGAAGCAUUGGGAAACAAGUAGAUUAACUAGAAAUCUAGCUCCAUAAAGCACCUCCAAGGUGUAAUGCACCCAGGACUUCUCUGUCAAUACCCGACAUCCUUGACAGAAAGUUUUGACAUGUGCACAGAUCAUCAAGUGUAAUAAAGCAUGCAUCAACUAGAAAUUUAGGACCCCUAAUUAUCGCCCAAGUAUUACUAAAUCCAAGGCAAGAUAUCUGAAACAGCCCUUGAAAAGAUAACAGAAAAAUCAAGGUAGUUGCAAAUAGUAAGUGCACUGGAGUUGAAUGCACAAAAUUUCUUAUAACUACAAUAGGCACACAUGAAGCAGAAAACCAAGCCUGACUAGGCUCAACCUAAUAAGAAUGGUGAUGCAUUUCAGUCAAGUAAAGAGGAUCGCGGGGAAUGUCAGUUGCAGUUUACCUUAUAUGUGAGAAAUUUCAACUUGAUCAUCAGAUUUGCAUCUUCAUCAGCUAAACUCUCAUUUGUGAAAGUGCCAUUAUUCUCAUCAACUUUUUUUGCACCCUUCUCCGUUCCAGCAAUUUCAGCAGCCUUUUCCUUGUCUGCCUUGAAUAAGUUUAAGUCGACAAAGAAACCUGUCAAAAAAAUCACCAAUUAGCAUCCAACAGAGAAAAGUAUGUCAUUAUUAGUCAAAAGGAUAUUCAAUCGUACAGAUAAGGAAGCUGAGAAUUGCAAAACAUCUACGAAAAAGAAUGAAAAGCAGAGGAAGAAGAAAGGACUAUAGCUGAAUUACAAAGCUGAUGGUACCAAAAGCAAUAUGGAUAAAGCAAAAAUGGCUAAAGCUGGAAUAGAGCUACAAGAAAUAGACAAGCAAGCAUCAAUUUUCUGAAAUUGGCUACCUCCUCCACUAUUCUCAGCAUUUGAAAGGAUUAGAGAAGAAGAAUGGAUUUAAUCCCUAGUGCAAAUCCCACAAACUAACUGGAAGUCUACCAUAUGACCAAUGGCACAGCUGAAACCAGUAAAAAAGCAAGCACAGCAGUGAGCUUACCUCGAUAAAGUGGCCACAGUCCUGGUUUGUUCCUGAGACAUGCACAUCCCAACCCGUUAUUUCAGUCAAAGAAUGAAAAACUACAAAAAUAGAUUUAGCAGCAAAAGUAAAGUUAUUUCCCAUCAUUAAGAUAUCAAGACAAAUUAAGUAAAGACCUCAUCUCUUUUUGAUAUCGCCGAAAUGCUGAAUCACUGUGUACAUGGAUCACCAUUUUGAAAUGAAGAUUAUUGCUAGAGACAGAGUUGAUCUUUUGAUAGUUAUGGUACAAUUUAAAAGCAGCUGGAUAGCGGUUUUCGCGCAUCAAGCGAAUCAUUUCCUGAUUGAAAUCAUCAAUCAUAGAAAUGUUUGGUAAGAUCAAUUGAAUAAACUCUUGCAAGAAAAUUUGACAGAUUUUGCAAAAUGAGUAUAUAUAAACUGGGAAAUGACAAUAAAAGAAUAUCAAAUGACAGAACCUCUUAAAGCAAUCUCAACAGGCAUUAAAAAACUCUUAGCUAAAUUUGUUUGACUGAUUUCAUUUUUAUCUGAAAUAAAGACAUUAAAUCAAAGCAAGACUCUUGGUCUCUUACAUCAAGCGCCUAAGAAAGGUUCCAAAAGCUCUCUUACUCCCACAGGCAAUGAGGCUUUAUUUGUAAAAGAUCAGUGGCACAACUUAUGUAUGAGAAUGUAUAAAUGAAUACACCAAACAUCUAUGUGGAGAUACAUUGUUACAUGGCCACAUCAUGCAAAACAAUGCCUCUAAAAUGGAAGUUAAAGGGAGAUACAUAAAACACCACCUGCAACUUUAUUGUAGAAAAAUCAGCAGGGUGUGUUUGCAGGAACUUUGUAAGAGCCGAACGAUCAACAUUUCUUGAAUGUGGGUCGGACCCUUCAUUCCCAAACCAAUCCAGAUAGUUUGGGCAGAAGGAAGUGCCAACGCUCUGCAGAAGUGCCUUGAUUUGCUGCAAGUCAUGUAAGAAGCAAAUUGAUAACACAUCACGAGAUACUUGUGUACCAUAAAACUUCAAAUGUUAGGAAAGCAUGUUAUCUGUUGAGGAUGAAGGUUACCUGCUUCUCAUCAGAUCUAUUUGCAGCACAAAUUUCUCGCAGGCUAGCUCCUAAAUCUUUUGCAUCUGCCACCCGAUACACAAUCACAUACAAUUACUACACAUGUUUAAUUCACAAUUACACAAACCAUAAGUACGUCCCAGUAGUUUCCUUCCACCUCAGAACUAAAGAAGUAUCAGAGAUAGAGAGAGAGAGCAAACACAAAAAGAAGGAAGCAAAGGCAAUUUCAGUUUGACAGCAAAAGCAAGAACAAGCAAUUGUCCAGAUAAUAAUAUUUCAAAAAAGCAAGUCCCAUAAUUCCAGUAUUUUACAAAUCAUUUUACCAUUCACGACAAAAUAUUUUAGACAGCAAACCCUUAUUUGAACCUUUUCUGUUAUCUCUUUAAUGUAGAUUUAGCAUUACAUGUGCAAUCAGAGAGUGGAGCUUCAUCCAAAGCAGGAUCAACCAUUAAUGGUCUAUAAACUCAUUGAAAGGUGACUUUGAGUUCAAUGGCUGAAUACCCACUCAGUGACUCCUAUAGCGUGACCAUGUUCAUCAAUACUGAAGGUGAAAAAAUAAACCUGUAAACAUGUUUAGCAGUUUGGAAGUGGCUUAAAAAAAGGCCAAAAAAAAAGAGGUACAGCAGAGUGAAUCGAGACAUCUUAAAUUUGUUGCUUAAGAUACGAUAGAUACAUAUCACUUGCUCGAGCUAUUUAAUAGUAGCAAAACAUAAGUUGAAAUUUCCUGGAUGGUAAGAAAGAAACUUCAUUGACAAUAAUCUCUGGUCAACAGAGAGAAGCAACUCAGUGACAAUUGCUUUUCCCUUCCUUUCUAACCCCUCAAGUUGAGUAGCACAAACAAAAUCCCACGUGAAAGUUGUUUCACAACAUCUAAAAACACUAGGCACACAGUCAAUAGAGAAGAUAAUUCCAGAUGGAAAUUCUUUGAACUUCCACAAAGAGCUAAUGAGGGCCAGCAAGAUUUAAGCACUUGAACAACCAAAAUUACAGAGAUACAGCAUGAAAUUUUACCUAGAUUCCUGUUACUUACAAUAAGAAACUAUGCCUUAAAAGCUUACACUAGUCUGUGCGUGAUUUGAACUUCUUAAGCAAAGGAGAUUGUUCACAAAUUGCAACCAAAAUUUUAAGGCAACCAAGAGAGAGAGAACAUGUUUUUCACACAACAGAAAAGGGAAAAUACUUUUUACCUUCAUCCACAGUAGGUAAAGGAAAAUCCCUUAGAACUUGUUCCAUGUCUUUUGAACUUUCAUGGCUUACUAUGCGAGCCACAAGACCUUCUAAAAUUUCGCCUUGUACCUUUAUGUGGUCUAUUGAUCCUGCAGCCAGUGAGAGAGAAAGGGCAAAAUUUUAGGAAUAACAAAAUACCUUGAUAAUUUACAGAUGUCAUAAUUUAAGAAAGGCUCUAACAAUUACAGUAAUUUCAAGGCAAGGGACCAUGGGCAUAUAUUUAUAUUAAAAAAAAAACAAAAGGAUAAGAGAGUUGGAGGAAUAAAGUCCACUAGCAUUUAGUACAAACUAUAGCUAGGAACCUUAGGCCAGCUUAAGACUUGAUGCCUGUACUGUCUAAAAGAUCUAAUUUGCAAUCAAAGCAGCACCAGCUGCAUGCUACUAACAGAACCAUACCGGCAUACAGUGCUGGACCACAUUAAAAUUGAAAAUGAAAAAUAAAAAAGUUGACAAGAAAAGGUAGAAUGAUGGUGAUGAGAAGAACUAGGUCUUAAAUUACAACCCAAUGAUGGAGGAAGAAUAAGUGCAACUGUGCAAGCCUAAUAACAAAUAUUCCGGAGAAAAUGAUAAGCAUCCAGCUAUGAAGAAGAUAAAAUAUGACAUCUGCCCACUAAUUCUCUCUAAGUGCCUGUGUGGAUGGAUUGAACAACAGUCAUUUUCAUCUCAUAACAUCAGCUAUUAAGAGCCAAGAUCGAGUAGUUAGACUAAGGCAUCAGAAAAUGGAUAUAAAUCAGGUCUAUGAGAAUUGUAAACAAUAAAAGUCUUAGCUCACCACGAAAUCAAAGAGAGAUUAGUAACUAAAAAAAGCAGGGUCAUCAAGUAGAAUAUAAGGGACCACAAUGUUUAAAAGGUUUGCAGAAUGGUGAUUCAGCAGUAGCUGUCAAGGUGGUUGGUUUAUCUUGAUUUGCAUAGGAUAUCAUAGAAAAUACAAGAAAGCCAACAUCAGGAUAUGCUGCUGGUUGUAUAGCAUGCCUAAUGACAGUUAAGUAGCUGGUAUACAGAAGAAGCACAAUGAGACAACCAUGGUAAUACUUGUAACCUGGUCUGAUUCACAGACAAAAAAGAAUUGCAGCCACCUGCAACUGUAAUGUGCUAUACCUGAUCUAUACUGAAACAACAAAGGUGCUAAAGCCAAAUUUGGAGGACAAACAAGUUAUCAAAACCUGAGCUUUCCAUGGUUUCGACAAAUCACAUCAAAUCAACAAGCUUUUGCUUUACAAAUAAAGGCACGUGGGUUUGUUUGGAUUGUAAAUUAUUUGAGAUAUUUUUACUGUAGCGCUUUUUGUGAUGUGAUGUAUGUGAGAUAACAAGGUAAUUGGAAAGAUAAAAAACUGUAUUGGAAAUUGUAAUGGUAAUGUAAGCAAAUAUAUUUGGGGAAAUAACCCACUAUCCAAACAAACCCAGUUCUGUUCUCAAAUAAACUUCACCUGGAACAGAUAUAUCUGCAACUUCGUCAAGAGCCUGACAAACAGGAGAUGCUGUUCCUUCUUCACACAAUGCAUCGUAUGCAGCAAAAAAGGAGGUCACCGACUUCCUAUAGUAUUGAUGCAAAAUAUGUAUCAGGGCAACAACUUUCAUCUUAGAUUUGCCAAAAGUACUCCAACAAAAAUAAAUAAUAAAGAAUAUUUUCUCCACUAGCUAGAAACAAUUUCAUUUAGUAAGAUGCCUUGUAACUAGUUUACCAAAAUACAAAUAAAAAGGAAGAGUUAAUCACAAAAUAAGAUGCAAGUACACUAAGACAAAAUUUCUGCCAAUUGCACUUGUUUAAGAAUCACCAAGGAAAUUUUGAUCAAUUAUGUCAAAUGAUGAUACAGCUAUUCAUGACCAAGCUCCUGUUUUAAAUGCUUAUACCGAAUAGAAAAAUCUUAAAAUACACAUAGAUGAAAGAAGGGAGUGCAUUAAGAACAGAAAAUCAAUAAACAUAGACUUCCUCUAAUCAUAACCAAUAUAAUGUUUGUAGUUCCAACCUCAGUACUGAUUUCCAAACUUUAAGAAGAGAAGAAUUACAAAGACAUCCUAUUAUAAUGAAGAAAGUGCAGCAUCAAUCAAACUGAAAUCUACAACUACAGUUGUAUUCUUUCUUAAAAACACACAUAAAAGAGCAAUACCUGGUGGAGAGCAACCAGACAUGAUUUGUUGGAAGACGCCACUUCCGGCAAAAAGCUAUUAUUUCUGGAGUAGAAUAAAAUGUUGGUCUCCCAAUGCCCAAUUCUGUGACUGCUGUCACAACCACUGCAAGACAAGAUAGACAAGGCAUACAAGCUGAAGCAUGAGAACCAGACUUUCUGCCAAAUCAUAUCCAUCAAACUAAUUAUGAAAACCAAAACCUAUGGCUCUGCGAAAACAGUUGCACAAAAUUGGAGCUCUGCCAGACACUGGAUAGUUUAACUGUUUACAAUUCUAAGAUCUAUUAAUUUGAAAUGAAUGGCAGGAAGGCAGCAUUGAUCAGCUAACAAGAACUAAGCCUGAAGUAACAAUAACUUGAGUUCCAGUAAAUGUUACAUGGUACCGCUUGACAAAAUUGUCUGGACUGCAGUUACAGUAAGUGCCAAAUACAUAUAUAAACCCUCUUUGCUGGUUGAGAAUGCCAAAAAAAAAAAGCAAAAUAAUUGAAAAGUUUGGCCAGCAUAUGGUAGCACUUGUACAUAUAUUUCAAGACAACAAAAACAUCCUUCCAUAACUACCAUGACUGCAAAAACACAACUGAACAAGUUGCCAUUCUUGCAAAAAUACAUUAACUGUUGAACAAAUUGCAACUACUUAAAUGCUUCAAUUUUUAGCAACCUUCAGAAAAAAGUGCGCCACCAUACGUCAAGGUAUUGUGUCCUUUCAGGUGUUAUCAUCCCUCAAAAUAGAAUAACCAAAAAAGUUUAAUCUUCCAUGACCCAGAAAAAGUGUAUCUCAGCUUCAAUCAGUCAACAGAAGGAAAAGAAAAAGAAACCAGAAUAUCUGACCACAAAAUAUACCACAUUAAUGUAUAGUAGUUGAUAAUUUUCUUUUAUGCCCUCACCAUAAUCUUCUCGAGGACGUUGUCCAUGGUCUCCUAGUACAGCAGUUACCAGUUCCAUUGAUAUGCACAUGCGAUUCCGCUGGAAAAAAUUCAAAGAACAGAAUUCAUCAAUUCAUAAGGACAAACAUAUUGCUCAAUUACUAUAGCUAUUGGGCAUCAUGUUAUGUGCCACAUGUAUCGACAAUGUAAAUAUGAAGAUGUUUCAGAAUGAUUAGUGACAGGGUAAGUGAUGCUCACAUAAUUACAAGAUUCCAGUUCCACUUGCAUAUGCCUUACAAGAUGAAAUUUCUUGUUACUGCAGCAACGCCCCCUUCCCCCCCCCACACACACACACACACAACACAACAACCAAAAAAAAAAAACCCCCCACCCCACAGCCCCUCAAAAAAAGAUUCAAAAUCAGCCAAUAACAUCUUGGUCCAUGAAGUAAUGGUUCCUAGGAUGAGCAAUCAAUACUAUUCCUCAUCUAUAAUCUAGAUACCAUUUUACUCUUCUAGAUUAGUAUGGUGAGAGAUUCAAAGCAAUAAAGUCAAGCCUAUCCCCCAGUUUAUUCUCAAGAUUCCACAGUGAAAUACCAAAAGAUAAGGGUUUCUAGUCUUCAAGAAACUGCAUAAAAAAUAUAACGAAGAUAUGUAAAAACUACAAAAGCACAUCAAAAUCAUAACAUAAAUGCCUUCCUCAACCAAGAUAGAAAGUUAUCACUGAACAACUCCAAAAGACAACUCAAAACUAAAAGUUCCUCGCAUCUGUGCUCCAUCAAAGAAGGAUCAUUAUUUUAUUUCUUAUGAGUAGGCUAUUUGCACCUUAUUUUCAGUGCAUUAGGAUUUUGAUUUAAUCUAAAAGUAAUGACAUCUAGAUUUUGUUGCACAAUGUCUAAAAAAUAAUUCUGUGGAAGUACAUUGAGAAAUUCAUUGAACUCUGCUUGCUUCUUGGUUGCUUGAGCACCCCAUGCCUUGUGAAAAGUCCUCCCAAGCACAAAAACACCAACAGCAGUGUAACUGCCGAAAAUAAGAAAAGUGAAAACUUAAAUAGAAAAGUCAAGCCAUAUAAAUGACUGCUAGAAUGAUACACAUCCAAGAUUACUGACAUUAUACAGAAAAAGAUGCAUAUUUUUAUUCAUGUAAACUUAAAAACAACUCCAGCAGGCUGGAUGUUCUCAAAUCUAUUCCAUUGUGAUUACCAAAUAAUUCUCAGAAAUAGUUUAAACCUAGUGCACCAGAAAUAACUUUAACUUUAUCUUAUUCAUCAAACCAUGUGGAAUUCAUCUUCCUAACCAAUUGCACUAUUGAACCAAGAAUCCCCUGCCCAACAUCCCAAUAGAAUAAAUGAACUCCCAACCUCUACAAACGUGUUUCAUUCAGUGAUUGACUGAAUCAUCAGAAUGCACUAUAAAGCAUUUAUAAAUUUUCACACAGGAGGAAAUGACUGGUUGAACACCAAACCAAUCAUGCUAACGGUUCAAGAGAAGAGAAAACUGAAUGUUUUAUUUGUUUAGCAGUUCCACCUUGACCUCCCCAUAAAACUACCCCCACCCAAGUAACUCCACCCAAAACGAAGAUCAACAAUAGCAAAGAGGCAUAAAAUCUCUCAGUAGCAUACCAGCAAUGGAGUACAGUUCAGUAAAUUAAGCAAACAAAAGCAAAAGCUCCAUGAUAUAAGGUAGGAAAUGAAUAGAGGAUGCAAUGGUUAAUCAUGAGCAUACACGUUGCCAAAGCUGUUCUUAGCAUAUGCUCCUCCCUCAUGUCCAGCAUACAUGAAAAGAGAUCCAGAAUGCUUGAGUGAUACCUGUUGAAGACAUGAGAAUGCUAGAGAAAAUGAGAACAAUGAUAGUACACACAUCAAAAGAAAAAAUUGAGCUCCAUUUCAGCACAACUGAAAGGAAAUUAUGGAACAAAAGGAUUUGUAGAACGGAAAAGCUAAAUUCGUACCUCCAACGUGGCCAAGCCUUUCGACACCAUCUCUAUCAUUCUUACUCUAAUCUGGAACACGAGAACAAUCAAGAUAUAACUCAGAAGCCCACUAACAAGAUUCAACUAAUGCUCAAAAAAGCACAAUAAGCUAUAUUUUGGAGACCAAAUAAUCGGUAAUAUCUAAUUGGUAUGCGGACAUUUCCCCCAACCACAUGACUAAAGGAAAAGCAAGAGAGAAAAACAAACCUCAUGAUCAGACUUCUCAUUUUCAAAUUUGGGGUAAAAGGUAGCUCUUAUUUGCGCAUGCGAGUAUGUUGAAUUGUCCACAGUGAAGUUGUCCAGUAAAUUACCCUUAAACAAUUUGCUCAAGACAGCAUUAUUUAAUCCACCUGAUGCUGCUUGAGCUUCACCCCCCUGAGCCGGACCCACCACUUGAGCAGCUGGUCCUUUUUCAACUUCUACAGCCAUUGCCCCACUUGUUGUUCCAUAUGACUUCGUCUCCCAAAAGCCCUGUCUCGGAUUGUUGUUCACCAAUCCUACCCCGGCAAACUGUUGAUCUGGGGGAGGAACACUGGACUCUCCAUCAUUUUGAGGAAUGCUUAAUGAACUAAAUUUAUCAGUCACAGCUUCCACACCUCCUACAGAAGAAACCUCUUUCGCAGUUGAUGAAGGCCUGUCAGAUUUUGGCUUCUCUAUCCAUCUUUGUCCUCUAGCUGCACUCCUUGGCUGCAUUUUCAUAAAUCAGAACAAUGAACAGACAAAUAGUGCCAACCAUUAUAAGAAAUUAGGAAAAACUUAAAUGAGCAUAUCCAAAAUACAUAAGGAUUUGAUUACCCUGUAUUCUACAUUUGUCCAUAAAAGGUAGAACAGAGGAUAAAAGGUAUCUCUUAAAAGGCAGAACACAGGAUAAAAGGUAUCUCUUAUCAAAGUUACUAACAGAGAACCAUAGCUACUAUUUAGAUGGCAAGCAUUUCUAAACAAAAUUAAGCUCAAUAAUGCUUACGUGUUCAAGUAGAUGACAAUGCUCAUCUUCCACUGUGAGUACCUUUUUUUCAAUCCUUUUUCUGUUUCCUUCUUAUAAUCACUCUUAUUGGUGACAGAAAUAAGGAAAAGAAAAAAUUAUUCAACAUUGUAAACCGAAAAAAAAAAAUUUCAACAUCCAAUUUUGCUUCAACAUCUUGACAUUUUACCCGCAAGGAGAAAAAAGAAAACAAUAGCCAGGGUUAUAAAAAUAGAAAUAAAGUACCAAGUUGCUACAGAUGCAGAAAAUUAGAGCAAGAAUAAAUACUUAGAUACCAAAAAGGGAAAAGAGAUAGCAUUUAAGUCCAAACUCUAAAUUCCUAUUUUCGAUCUUUAUAGCUCAUGCAAUCAAACAGUGACCAACUGCGAAAAUGUUACAUCUUUAAUCCAAAACACAGCACAAAAGUAGGGGCAAAAGCAGGUAAGAGAAAGGAAAGACUCGCAUCGCCAGGUGGGCUGACAGCAUUGCUAACACAUCACAUAUCCAUUAGACAGCUAUAACUACCGUGUUCGCAGAAUUUAAUCAAGUCUUCUAUAAUUAAAAGAAAAUAUAACCAAUUCAUCAGAUAAAAUCACAAAAAAAAAAAAAAUUGAAAUAAAAUACAGUCACGUAAUAUAUGCCCAUCAAAAUAGAGAAGAAAAAGAAAACCUGUUUCCGUUGCAUGGUGGAGUGAACCAGUGAGCUGCUGAAAGAGAUGGAGCGAGACCGGAGAAGAAGAAAGCUUCUGGAAGAAAUUAGAUGAUGAGGUGAAGAAUGAUAAUGCGAAGAGGAAGAAGAACGAGAAUAGAGUGCUAGAGUGAAACCAGAGAAUAUUCUCUGAGAAACCAGCCCCCUCGACAACAUCCAAGUUUUCCAGAUAGUACAACUUUGCUAUAAAUAGUAGAGAAGAAGAGUGGGGCGGUGAGUGGUAAAACUGCAAUAGCUAAGAAAUAGGACGUCAAAUACUACUAAUUUACGAGCACCGCGGGCACCGCCUUAGACCGGCGUCGAAUCAGAAUCGUUCUACUGUGAGAUACUGUAGAGUGAGAAGAAAAAAAAAAUUAGGUGCAGUGCCACUGCCCAGGGAAAGAUUAACUAAAUCAUAUAUAAGCAUUUAUCAGUUUAAAAUACCGCGCAGUAGUCUAUAUAUGAUCUAUAUCGUGUCGUGGUCAUUUGUCGUUCACGUUUCCUCAAGUUAAUAUUUUAUUUGUGUUUUUCUCAUUUUUUUCCUUGGGUUAACCUUCCAGGUCGUGGCCACAUGAUGACCAAUUUCUUAAUGGAUAAGUAAUCAUAAAAAAAAAAAUCCAUGCGAAGGGUCCAGACAUUAAUUAUUGCCAAUUACUUUCUUAACUAUCUAAUCUCCCAGAAUUCCUAUUCGGGAUAAUAAGAUAUGCCUUGAUUUUCAAUAUACCAUUUUUGUCUUUUUGUUGUUAAUCAGACAAAUCUACCCCGUAAUAUGUCAUUUUAAAAGUUUUCUUUUUUAUCUCUACUUUUUUUCCUCUUUACCUUUUCCUCCCUUCUUUUGCCAUUUUCUUCUUUCUCCUUACCGUUGAAGGUGGCCCCUUCCACUAUUUAAUUAAGAGCAGGACGAUUUGAUUGACUGCACAUUUUCAUUUGAUGAAAAAAUGAAUUAGUUGUGCUAACUUCUGAUUCUAAAUCUCAGGGCCUUCAGCUAAUUUACUGCCUUUGCUUCCUAUAAGCAUUUUGAGGCAUGGGUUCUGCCUGCUUUUGUCAGCCCGCCAGGGACGCAUUUGAAAGAUCAAUCAAUGGCACAAGUAUGGCUCUAACAGAAUGAUACAGAUUGCCUCUCUUUCAGCUUCUUCCUUCCUGCGGUCGAAUUCAACAACUUUACAUUCCAGUGAGCAAUCCAUGUGCCAAUGGAAUGGAGAUGUAAUAAUUUAUAGUGGAUAUUAUUGCAGUAUGGUAAAUGGUCUCCAAGUGAGUAAUGUGCCUUAGCAUAUUCACAAUAUUUAUGACUACCAAUGUUUGCCGUGGCUCUGUUGCUCUAAGCUGGCAGCUUAUUUUGUCAAACUAUAAAAGUCUAAGGUGAAGAAACCACCUAGCAGUUCACAAUGUUAACUAUCUCCUCUUUGCUGCAAAAAAUUUCCAUAUUUCGGCGUGUAAACACUUACUGUCAACUAAUGGCCUGCCUUUAUGCUUCUAAAUCAGAACUGUUAAAGCAUACUUGAGGUACACUCUCUGUCGGCAAAAAACUCGUCUGGGGGAUUUCACCAAGUACUUCCACGCCUUCUGUGCCCGUGUCUUCGGUGUCUUUUAUCGUAGGUGUUUGAUCCACUUUUGGAGCCAGCGGACCUUGAGGGGUUCCAAAAACAGUGGUAAAUAUCUGUCUAUGGCAUUCACCGCAGAGAUAAAAAUAGGUGAAAUGGCCCUCAUAUAAGAGCUUGUGCACCAUGGCAUCUGGUAG